rnacentral:rRNA from 1 species
UUUGGGCGUGUCUCCCUUCUCGGGAGACUCUCUCGACCCCCACGAACCCUUGACCUCAAAUCGGGUGAGACUACCCGCUGAACUUAAGCAUAUCAAUAAGCGGAGGAAAAGANAACUAACAAGGAUUCCCCUAGUAACUGCGAGUGAANGCGGGAAAAGCUCAAAUUUAAAAUCUGGUGGUCUCUGGCCGUCCGAGUUGUAAUUUAGAGAAGUGUCUUCCG